GAUGAACGCUGACAGAAUGCUUAACACAUGCAAGUCCACUUGAACUUCGGUUUGGGUGGCGGACGGGUGAGUAACGCGUAAAGAACUUGCCUCACAGCUAGGGACAACAUUUGGAAACGAAUGCUAAUACCUGAUAUUAUGAUUAUAUGGCAUCGUAUAAUUAUGAAAGCUAUAUGCGCUGUGAGAGAGCUUUGCGUCCCAUUAGCUAGUUGGAGAGGUAACAGCUCACCAAGGCGAUGAUGGGUAGCCGGCCUGAGAGGGUGAUCGGCCACAAGGGGACUGAGACACGGCCCUUACGCCUACGGGAGGCAGCAGUGGGGAAUAUUGGACAAUGGACCGAGAGUCUGAUCCAGCAAUUCUGUGUGCACGAUGAAGUUUUUCGGAAUGUAAAGUGCUUUCAGUUGGGAAGAAAAAAAUGACGGUACCAACAGAAGAAGUGACGGCUAAAUACGUG
rnacentral:rRNA from 1 species